UGUGUUCUAUGUCUCGUUUAAGGGUACCGUGGUGUAAGGUUAGCAAAACCCUCCAUCACCACAGUAACGUUCCUCUUGAUGAACGCUGUAACGCCGUUCAUUUCUUCCAUCUUCGCGCCACGAAAAUUUCCAGAAGAGGGAGAAAGAGAAGGAGAGACCGAAGAAACCGACCUGUUAGCGAAGAUCAAGUUUUCAUUUGAGGAUCCUCCACAUUCGUUGAGAAAAUCCCCAAAUCUCGCAGACCUUCUCCCACCCGCUAAUGGCGGAGAGGAGCAUUAUGCUCCACAUUCUCGAGCCGAGAAGGAGGAAGAAGAGGAAAGGUGCUAUAAGUGGAAGAACUUUCUUGAUCAAGUAGCUACAUCAUUUCAAGCGUGUCCUCUUGAGGAGGCAAAUACAAAUACACUGCAAGCUGAAACUAGCAAGCAUAAAGAAGAAGUCAGAUCGAGGAGGAGUAGCACAGGGGAUGACUCAACUGGCUCAGACUCUGAACCUGUUGACACAUCAGAUAGUAGUCCUACAAAACUAUUAGAGUCCCCAAUUGAAACACAAAAACGUGUUGUCCAGACUUGGUGUCAAAUUAGGCCAUCUCUAAAUGCCAUUGAGAUUAUGAUGAGCUCUCGUGUUGAAAAGAAGAUUAUGAAAGAUGAAAAGACAAUUAAUGGUGGAGAUCAUCUUCCACCACCAGAGGAGGCAGAAUCUUUAGAUGGAACAUUGGCAAAUUCUGAAGAGGAUGAAGCUUGCAUUAGUGGAUCACUUAAUCGUAGUACAUCUGCUACUGGGGCAGAAAGUAGGAUGGGUGAAUGCAUGUCUAACAGUGUGAACCCCUCCAAGAGGGAUGGCGACGUGGCCGAAGGAGUUUCACAUGAUCAGUUGUUUACAUGGAAAGAAGAAUUAGAAUGCCUUGUUCGUGGGGGGUUGCCAAAAGAUCUGAGGGGAGAGGUGUGGCAAGCCUUUGUAGGUGUAAAGACCCGUCGAAUUGAGAAAUAUUACCAAGAUUUGUUGGAUCAAGAAACUAAUUGUAGUGCAGAUAAUGAGAACAAUAUCCCAUCUGGUGUACCGAUAAAGUUGAAAAAACAGAUUGAGAAGGAUAUACCACGAACAUUUCCUGGUCAUCCUGCCCUGGAUGAGAAUGGUAGAGACUCCUUGAGGCGUUUACUUUUAGCAUAUGCUCUGCACAAUCCUUCUGUUGGUUACUGUCAGGCAAUGAAUUUCUUCGCAGGCUUGUUGCUACUCCUGAUGCCCGAGGAGAAUGCCUUUUGGACUUUGGUUGGAAUAAUAGAUGACUAUUUUGAUGGAUAUUACACCGAGGAAAUGAUAGAAUCGCAGGUGGACCAGCUUGUUUUUGAGGAAUUGAUGCGUGAAAGAUUUCCUAAAUUGGUUAAACAUUUGGAUUACUUGGGAGUGCAAGUGGCGUGGUUCUCAGGUCCUUGGUUCCUUUCCAUCUUUGUGAAUAUGCUUCCGUGGGAAAGUGUACUCCGAGUUUGGGAUGUGCUUCUGUUUGAAGGCAACAGGGUCAUGCUGUUUCGGACAGCACUUGCACUGAUGGAACUAUAUGGUCCUGCACUAGUUACUACAAAAGAUGCAGGGGACGCCAUAACUCUGUUACAAUCCCUUGCUGGUUCCACAUUUGAUAGCAGCCAGCUUGUGUUGACAGCUUGCAUGGGCUUUCUGACUGUAACUGAAGUAAGACUAGUAGAGUUGAGAGAAAAGCUGCGGCCAUCUGUGCUAGCUGUAAUUGAAGAAAGAACAAAGAAGGGUCGAGUUUGGAAGGAUUCCAAAGGGUUAGCCUCCAAGCUUUAUAGCUUUAAGCAUGAUCCUGGAUCACCUGUAGAGAUGAAAAAGACAGCUGCAGGAGCCGAUGCAGGACCCUGUACCCCUAAUCUUGAUGACUUCCUUAGUGGAUUAGCUGGUGAUUCAGAAACAGAGUCGCUCCCAGACCUUCAAGAACAAGUAGUAUGGUUGAAGGUUGAGUUGUGCAGGUUGCUGGAGGAGAAAAGAUCUGCGGUUCUGAGAGCUGAGGAGCUAGAAACGGCACUCAUGGAAAUGGUCACCCAAGAUAAUCGACGUCUAUUAAGUGCCAGGGUUGAACAACUGGAGAUAGAGGUUGCUGAGCUAAAGAAAACUCUAGCAGAGAAGAAAGAACAAGAAGUUGCCAUGCUUCAGUUGUUGAUGCGUGUUGAACAAGAGCAAAGAGUAACCGAGGAAGCUAGAAUAAAUGCUGAGCAAGACGUAGCAGCUCAGAAAUAUGCUGUUCAUAUGCUUCAGGAUAAAUAUGAGAAAGCAAUGGCUUCACUUGCUGAGAUGGAGAAGAGGGUGGUGAUGGCGGAAUCCAUGUUGGAAGCUACAUUACAAUAUGAAUCUGGUCAAGUUAAAGCAACGUCAUCUCCUCGGGCACGUAAUCAAGGAUCGGGACAGGAAAAUCAAAGAAAGAUUGGUUUGCUGCCAUUUGCAUUGGGCUGGCGAGAUCGAAACAAGGGUAAAUCGACCGAGGAAUCUUCUGAAUAGAAGAUGGUAGAAAAGCAAUUAAAGCUUGAAUUUCUGUUCUCAAAUGGGUCGCCGGCAUAGCCUAGAGGAUCUUUCUUUUUGUUUUCUUCACAUUGAAAGAAGGGAAAGGUUUUUUCUUUCUUUAGGUGAAGAACCAAAUUUCAACAACACAAUGAGCCGUUCAGGAAAACCCACUAAAAGAAUUCUGGAUUCAAAUUCAACCUUAAAAAUCCCAUCAAUCCAAGUACAAGUGCAAGUACUUUUACUUCUAUUAUCACUUGCUUUUAUCUCCUCACUUUUGUGAAAAUUGUUCUUUUUAUAACCGUUUUUUGUUUUGGUUUCUAUGUCUUAGGUCAAGUUUUAUUUAGUUCAAAUUUUAAAACGUUUUAUGGGUCAUUUUUUUAAGUAGCAAAAUAAAUUAAAAUAUUUACAAUCUAUAGCAAAAUUUUGGAUUCUAUCAACGAUAGAAACUGAUAGACUUCUAUCAUUGUGUAUCAUUACCACUAAUAG